CUCUACGGUAACACGAUUUAGAUCGGAGGUCAAAUAGUGGUAUUAUACGCAUCUUAGCCCUUGAAAUAUGCAUUACACCCUCUAGCCACCAAAAAGUAUUUAGAUAAAAACAAAAAAUUGUAAAUUCUCAGCCAAAAGCAAACAUUAUUUUUUCCUCUUUUUUAUGCAUAAUAUCCGCUUAGUUAGUUUAGAGGAACGUUGAAGUCUGAAAAAAAAAACACUAUUUGCCUUUUAAAAUAUAACUCCUUUGUUUCACACUUAGACGUUCUAUCUUUAGUUGGCGAUUACGACCUUUGCAAAUGACCGAGUGGAAAAUGUGCCGUGCGCAAACUUUGGUUUUGCUAUGCCUAAUUUGCACUGAUUUCAAAUUAUCGACAACUUAUCUGUUUGGAGAUUGAUUUAUGACAGUCAGAGGUGGACUGAUCAUAAUAUCGAUACCACACGAGAGAAAAAUAUGAGCAACCAUAAGCGCAACCUCCACUCUAUCCACAACUCUAAAGGCAAUUUCGCAGCUCGGAAUUGCCGAUAGGAUUGCUUAAUUACCCAAACGGUUGCUCGUAAUAGGAUUACCAUUUUGUUACUUCUCUUAACUUUUGGUUAAUAUUAUUUUUUCAUGUGAUGCUAGUAUGUCAUAUUUUCUCAACGAUGCUUGUAAACGAAGGAAAAAUAAAUCACAGAUGUUCUAGAAUUGAUACACGUUUAAUUUUAUGUAUUAACUUAAUUUUUUUAUCGUGUCCAUGGACAAUUAAAUGGCCUCGUGUGCCUUCAAAACUGCAACCGCAAGCUCCAAUACACCAUUACUGUAGGGGUGCG